CUAGCUACAGAGGGCCCACCCCUCCUUAAUGA
rnacentral:tRNA from 1 species